CACAUGCAAGUCGAACGAAGUAGCAAUACUUAGUGGCAGACGGGUGAGUAACAUGUAGGUAUCUACCCUUUGGCCUGGAAUAACACGAGGAAACUUGUGCUAAUACCGGAUAAGUCUUUACGGAGAAAGCUUUAUGCACCAUUGGAUGAGCCUGCACUUGAUUAGUUUGUUGGUAGGGUAAUGGCCUACCAAGACUAUGAUCAAUAGCUGAUUUGAGAGGAUGAUCAGCCACAUUGGGACUGAGACACGGCCCAAACUCCUACGGGAGGCAGCAGUGGGGAAUCUUGCACAAUGGAGGAAACUCUGAUGCAGCGAUGCCGCGUGAGUGAAGAAGGCCUUUGGGUUGUAAAGCUCUUUCGUCGGGGAAGAAAAUGACUGUACCCGAAUAAGAAGGUCCGGCUAACUUCGUGCCAGCAGCCGCGGUAAUACGAAGGGACCUAGCGUAGUUCGGAAUUACUGGGCUUAAAGAGUUCGUAGGUGGUUGAAAAAGUUGGUGGUGAAAUCCCAGAGCUUAACUCUGGAACUGCCAUCAAAACUUUUCAGCUAGAGUAUGAUAGAGGAAAGCAGAAUUUCUAGUGUAGAGGUGAAAUUCGUAGAUAUUAGAAAGAAUACCAAUUGCGAAGGCAGCUUUCUGGAUCAUUACUGACACUGAGGAACGAAAGCAUGGGUAGCGAAGAGGAUUAGAUACCCUCGUAGUCCAUGCCGUAAACGAUGUGUGUUAGACGUUGGAAAUUUAUUUUCAGUGUCGCAGCGAAAGCGAUAAACACACCGCCUGGGGAGUACGACCGCAAGGUUAAAACUCAAAUGAAUUGACGGGGACCCGCACAAGUAGUGGAGCAUGUGGUUUAAUUCGAAGAUACGCGCAGAACCUUACCAACACUUGACAUGUUCGUCGCGACUCUAAGAGAUUAGAGUUUUCGGUUCUUCCGGACGAAACACAGGUGCUGCAUGGCUGUCGUCAGCUCGUGUCGUGAGAUGUUGGGUUAAGUCCCGCAACGAGCGCAACCCUCACUUUUAGUUGCCAUCAUUAAGUUGGGCACUCUGAAAGAACUGCCAGUGAUAAGCUGGAGGAAGGUGGGGAUGACGUCAAGUCCUCAUGGCCCUUACGUGUUGCGCUACACACGUGCUACAAUGGUAUCUACAACAGGAAGCAAAACGGCAACGUUAAGCAAAUCCCGAAAAGAUACCUCAGUUCGGAUUGCGCUCUGCAACUCGAGUGCAUGAAGCUGGAAUCACUAGUAAUCGUGGAUCAGCGUGCCACGGUGAAUGCGUUCCCGGGUCUUGUACACACCGCCCGUCACACCAAGGGAGUUGGUUCUACCUUAAGGCAAGGUUUUAAACCCUUGACCACGGUAUAGUCAGCGACUGGGGUG
rnacentral:rRNA from 1 species